CUUUAAGACACACCUUCCAUUUCCUGCAUAUGCCAUAAUGGGAAGGAGUGUUAGGAGGGGCUUAACUGUCAAUUUUAAAAUGUGUGCUUUCCUUUUACAACAUGGUGGAUAUUCCUGUUGUGCACUGUCUUUAAUCUGGAGGGAAAAAUCAUGGUAAAUAUACAAUUGCUAUGGUAGAGGUGUUUGAUGAAAGUUUGAAACUGUCUCAAAACCAGAUUUGUUGCUCUUAACUUUCAAG